rnacentral:rRNA from 1 species
GGGAUUGCCCUAGUAACGGCGAGUGAAGCGGCAAGAGCUCAAAUUUGAAAUCUGGCUCUUUCAGGGUCCGAGUUGUAAUUUGCAGAGGGCGCUUUGGCUUUGGCAGCGGUCCAAGUUCCUUGGAACAGGACGUCACAGAGGGUGAGAAUCCCGUACGUGGUCGCUAGCUAUUGCCGUGUAAAGCCCCUUCGACGAGUCGAGUUGUUUGGGAAUGCAGCUCUAAAUGGGAGGUAAAUUUCUUCUAAAGCUAAAUAUUGGCCAGAGACCGAUAGCGCACAAGUAGAGUGAUCGAAAGAUGAAAAGCACUUUGGAAAGAGAGUCAAACAGCACGUGAAAUUGUUGAAAGGGAAGCGCUUGCAGCCAGACUUGCUUGCAGUUGCUCAUCCGGGCUUUUGCCCGGUGCACUCUUCUGUAGGCAGGCCAGCAUCAGUUUGGGCGGUGGGAUAAAGGUCUCUGACACGUUCCUUCCUUCGGGUUGGCCAUAUAGGGGAGACGUCAUACCACCAGCCUGGACUGAGGUCCGCGCAUCUGCUAGGAUGCUGGCGUAAUGGCUGUAAGCGGCCCGUCUUGAAACACGGACCAAGGAGUCUAACAUCUAUGCGAGUGUUUGGGUGUCAAGCCCGAGCGCGUAAUGAAAGUGAACGGAGGUGGGAACCCGCAAGGGCGCACCAUCGACCGAUCCUGAAGUUUACGGAAGGAUUUGAGUAAGAGCAUGGCUGUUGGGACCCGAAAGAUGGUGAACUAUGCUUGAAUAGGGUGAAGCCAGAGGAAACUCUGGUGGAGGCUCGCAGCGGUUCUGACGUGCAAAUCGAUCGUCAAAUUUGGGCAUAGGGGCGAAAGACUAAUC